rnacentral:rRNA from 1 species
UACAGAGGGGGCAAGCGUUGUUCGGAAUUACUGGGCGUAAAGGGCGCGUAGGCGGCCUGUUAAGUCGAACGUGAAAUACCCGGGCUCAACCCGGGAACUGCGUCCGAUACUGGCAGGCUUGAAUCCGGGAGAGGGAUGCGGAAUUCCAGGUGUAGCGGUGAAAUGCGUAGAUAUCUGGAGGAACACCGGUGGCGAAGGCGGCAUCCUGGACCGGCAUUGACGCUGAGGCGCGAAAGCCAGGGGAGCAAACGGG